AUUGAACGCUGGCGGCAUGCUUUACACAUGCAAGUCGAACGGUAACAGGGUGCUUGCACCGCUGACGAGUGGCGAACGGGUGAGUAAUGCAUCGGAAUGUACCGUGUAAUGGGGGAUAGCUCGGCGAAAGCCGGAUUAAUACCGCAUACGCCCUGAGGGGGAAAGUGGGGGACCGAAAGGCCUCACGUUAUACGAGCAGCCGAUGUCUGAUUAGCUAGUUGGUGAGGUAAAGGCUCACCAAGGCGUCGAUCAGUAGCGGGUCUGAGAGGAUGAUCCGCCACACUGGGACUGAGACACGGCCCCGACUCCUACGGGAGGCAGCAGUGGGGAAUUUUGGACAAUGGGCGCAAGCCUGAUCCAGCCAUGCCGCGUGUCUGAAGAAGGCCUUCGGGUUGUAAAGGACUUUUGUCCGGGAGCAAAUCCUAGUGGUUAAUAACCGCUGGGUCUGAGAGUACCGGAAGAAUAAGCACCGGCUAACUACGUG
rnacentral:rRNA from 1 species